ACGAAGGGUGCAAGCGUUACUCGGAAUUACUGGGCGUAAAGCGUGCGUAGGUGGUUUGUUAAGUCUGAUGUGAAAGCCCUGGGCUCAACCUGGGAACUGCAUUGGAUACUGGCUUACUAGAGUGCGGUAGAGGGUAGUGGAAUUCCACGUGUAGCAGUGAAAUGCGUAGAUAUGUGGAGGAACACCGAUGGCGAAGGCAGCCCCCUGGGUUAACACUGACGCUCAUGCACGAAAGCGUGGGGAGCAAACAGGA
rnacentral:rRNA from 1 species